AUUGAACGCUGGCGGCAGGACUAACACAUGCAAGUCGAACGAGUGGAGGACGGGUGAGUAAUGUCUGGGAAACUGCCCGAUGGAGGGGGCUAACUACUGGAACCGGUAGCUAAUACCGCAUACCAUCGGAUGUGCCCAGAUGGGAUUAGCUUGUAGGUGAGGUAACGGCUCACCUAGGCGACGAUCGCUAGCUGGUCUGAGCGGAUGAGCAGACACACUGGAACGUAGACACGGGCCGUACUCCUAUGGGGGGCAGCAGGGGUGAAUAGUGCACAAUGGGCGCGAGCCGGAUGCAGCCAUGCCGGGUGGAUGAAGAAGGCCUUCGGGUGGUAAAGUACUUGCAGCGGGGAAGCGUUACCCGCAGAAGAAGCACCGGCUAACUCCGUGCCAGCCGCCGCGGUAAUAC
rnacentral:rRNA from 1 species